rnacentral:ribozyme from 1 species
CGCCGUCUCCUCCCAGCUCGUGUCUCAUCGACAGUGACGGCGACGGAACUGUCGACUGUUUGGAUGGCUGUCCUUUGGACAGGCUCAAAACCAGUCCCGGCUUCUGCGGGUGUGGUGUCCCCGAGGCC